rnacentral:rRNA from 1 species
GCAAGUCGAGCGAGAAAUUUUCUUCGGAAAAGAGUAAAGCGGCGGACGGGUGAGUAACGCGUAGGAAUCUACCUAGUAGUGGGGGACAACAUGUGGAAACGCAUGCUAAUACCGCAUACGCCCUAUGGGGGAAAGCAGGGGAUCUCCGGACCUUGUGCUAUUAGAUGAGCCAGCGUCGGAUUAGUGUGUGGGUAGGGUAAUGGCCUACAAAGACUACGAUCCGUAGCUGGUAUGAGAGGAUGAGC